UUGCAGCAGAAGUUUGUUGAGAAAUUGCUUUUGCUUGCUGGGAAAUUGCUUUUCUAAGCAAACCUUGACUGGAUGGUUAGAAAAACUGAAGUAGAAAAUAAGAAAAUAACGAUGGAUAAUGGACGCGCAACGAAAGUGCAACAGUUCACUUUCAACGAUGGAACAAAGCUCUUCGUGCCUAGAUUGUAUAUGACCAUUGCGCACACACACACACAUUAAUUUCCUUAUUUCGUUUUUUCUCCCUCUCGUUCUCCAAAUCGUGUGCUGGAUUUAAUUUAACUGCGAGGUCAGACAUUUCAGACGGACAAUCUAGUUGUGACCGUUGGUCGAGCUCGGCACUCAAUUCUUCGCGAUCGAACAAAGCCGCAUUAUCUGUGAGUGUCAACUAAACUGAUUGAAUAGCGAUAGUAAUUUGUGUCUAUUAGUUAUCUAGUUAGUCGUGCCGCGAACUUCUCCCAGAGUGACCAUACAGGUUCUUGUGAAAAUUGUAUCAGGUUGCAUGUGACGAAUGAAGAAGUGGAUUCAACUACAACAACAACAUACAACAUUGUUCUUCGACCUAAACAAGUCUUCCUCUGUUUGCCAAUAUUUUUACAGCAAUUACAUAAAACUAACCAGUCCAUUAAAAAUGCAUCAUUUAAUAGAAAGUACCAGUUCAAUCGAUGCGUAGCUGGUUGUUUAGUUGUUUCAGGCCAUUUGCUGUUAUUUAAUUUGCCAUGUUGAUAUAGCAGAAUGAAAUGAUGACGUCAAAUUGUAAAUAGUAGUGAUUUAAGCCGGCUCGAAGGACCACAAAUGAUAAAUUACCACCAAACAACAGUUACACUCUGUACAAUCGUGAUUGAGCAUUGAAAACAAUAUUUGCAUGGUUCUGGAUCUUACAUAAUUAAUCAGCUAUUUUAAUAAAACAUUUCGCUAUCAACGUGUAAGUGGACGAAAUGAUUUUCACAAUUCAAUCAAUCAUUAUUUUAUUUUAUCACUUAAAUUUUGGGCAUCGGGGGAGUGGUUUGGACAAUUGUGUUGGCAACUUUUAGGAAAAUUAUCCCAGUCGAAAAAUUCUCAUUAGAUUAGAAUCUCAAAUAGCUUUACCAGCCAACAAAGGAAGGAAAUCCAUUUUGACUUGGGGACAUAAUGUAGCAAUCCAGAUAACAGAGUUGCAUUAUCGAAAGAUUUAAAGGGGAAACACCUUUUUUAAAUUCUAAGACGAAAAUGUUUCAAUUUGAAACCUAGAUUGAGAACAAAGGAUUCCUAGUGAAAUUCCGUACAAAAAUCACAUUUUUCGCAUCAAAUUAACAUCUCUCGCAAAACAUCUCAAAAUAAACGCAUUUCAGGCUCACAAUAACUAAAUUUUUUCCUGGUUUUAAAUCUUUUUUUCAUUGUUAAUCAAUUUAAGGUUUAAGUGAUUUUUGCCUGCGGAUAAAUAAAUACGUUUUCCUUCAACAAAAUGAUCACUUUCGUCAACCGAAUCAAACUUCACAUUUAAUUCACGCUAUCAAUAUUUACUAUUACUUAAUUAAUUAAUCCUGAUAUCAUUUUCAAGGGGACGAAACCAACAACGCAAUUUUUCAUUAAUGCGUUAAUUUUGCCUUAAAUUUCAGACAACCAGAUUAUCAUUUAAAUAGAUAGAAUAGACGAUCGCUUUAUUGCAAACAAUAAUCGUGCCUCAGUCUAGUUGGGUUUGACCUCAGUGAAAUUGUUUAAAUUGUUUCAUUUAACACCUUGAGCUUGGUAACAAAGAAUAAAAGCGAAUAGGAAGCAAUGAAAUUGCAAACAAAGAGAUCUACUAAGUUUUGCGCGGUUUUCCGAAGAUUCAAUUGAAAAUUUACCUCAGUUCUCCGCUCUAAAACCUUGCAAACUUGAUCAAAACAUGCAAAGCAAUUCCCCAAAAACUUUCGAAAAAAAUUAGCUUAACUUGCACGUUCGUCCAUCAUCAACGGAACUAACCAAUUACAUUAUUAUUCUUCAA